rnacentral:rRNA from 1 species
GUAUAAAAUAGCCUGCAUGUCUAAGUAUAAGCACUUGUACUGUGAAACUGCGAAUGGCUCAUUAAAUCAGUUAUCGUUUAUUUGAUUGUACCUUACUACAUGGAUAACCGUGGUAAUUCUAGAGCUAAUACAUGCGAAAAGUCCCGACUUCUGGAAGGGAUGUAUUUAUUAGACUAAAAGCCAAUACGGGUGCUCUUUUGGGCACACGUUCAUGUGGUGAUUCAUGAUAACUUCUCGAAUCGCAUGGCCUUGCGCCGGCGAUGUUUCAUUCAAAUUUCUGCCCUAUCAACUGUCGAUGGUAAGGUAGUGGCUUACCAUGGUUACAACGGGUGACGGAGAAUUAGGGUUCGAUUCCGGAGAGGGAGCCUGAGAAACGGCUACCACAUCCAAGGAAGGCAGCAGGCGCGCAAAUUACCCAAUCCCGACACGGGGAGGUAGUGACAAGAAAUAACAAUCCGUGUCCAUAUUCUGGAUGCGAAAUUGGAAUGAGUACAAUUUAAAUCCUUUAACGAGGACCAAUUGGAGGGCAAGUCUGGUGCCAGCAGCCGCGGUAAUUCCAGCUCCAAUAGCGUAUAUUAAAGUUGUUGCAGUUAAAAAGCUCGUAGUUGGAUUUCGGGAUGGGCCAGUCGGUCUGCCGCAAGGUAUGUUACUGGCUGGUCUGUCCUUCUUCGCAAAGACUGCGUGUGCUCUUAACUGAGUGUGCGUAGGAUUUGCGACGUUUACUUUGAAAAAAUUAGAGUGUUCAAAGCAGGCUAACCGCUUGAAUACAUGAGCAUGGAAUAAUGGAAUAGGACUUUGGUUCUAUUUUGUUGGUUUCUAGAACUGAAGUAAUGAUUAAGAGGGACAGUUGGGGGCAUUCGUAUUUCGUUGUCAGAGGUGAAAUUCUUGGAUUUACGAAAGACGAACAACUGCGAAAGCAUUUGCCAAGAAUGUUUUCAUUAAUCAAGAACGAAAGUUAGAGGCUCGAAGACGAUCAGAUACCGUCCUAGUUCUAACCAUAAACGAUGCCGACUAGGGAUCAGCGGGCGUUAUUUUAUGACCCCGUUGGCACCUUAUGGGAAACCGCUGAAGUGGAUAGCCGAGAAGAAGUAUCGCUAAUAGUUCGAUCAUUUAGAGGAAGUUGGACGAAAAGUCGUACCAAUCAGGAAUUGGAACCCUGCGGGUUUAAUUUUGACUUAACACCGGGAAAACUUACCAAGGUUCAAA